rnacentral:rRNA from 1 species
GAUGAACGCUGGCGGUGUGCCUAACACAUGCAAGUCGAACGGAGCUGCUUUGAUGAAGUUUUCGGAUGGAUUUAAAACAGCUUAGUGGCGGACGGGUGAGUAACGCGUGGGUAACCUGCCUCACACUGGGGGAUAACAGUUAGAAAUAGCUGCUAAUACCGCAUAAGCGCACAGUUCCACAUGGAACAGUGUGAAAAACUCCGGUGGUGUGAGAUGGACCCGCGUCUGAUUAGCCAGUUGGCGGGGUAACGGCCCACCAAAGCGACGAUCAGUAGCCGGCCUGAGAGGGUGAACGGCCACAUUGGGACUGAGACACGGCCCAAACUCCUACGGGAGGCAGCAGUGGGGAAUAUUGCACAAUGGGGGAAACCCUGAUGCAGCGACGCCGCGUGAGUGAAGAAGUAUUUCGGUAUGUAAAGCUCUAUCAGCAGGGAAGAAAGUGACGGUAC